AAUGAACGUUGGCGGCGUGGAUUAGGCAUGCAAGUCGAGCGAGAUAGGUUUGGUGCUUGCAUUAAACCUUGAAAGCGGCGAAAGGGAGAGUAACGCGUAGGACACCUACCCUCAGGCCUGGGAUAGCGGCGGGAAACUGCCGGUAAUACCGGAUAAUGUCUCCGGACCAAAGGUGUGAUUCCGCCUGGGGAUGGUCCUGCGUCCUAUUAGUUAGUUGGUGAGGUAAUGGCUCACCAAGACUAUGAUGGGUAGCGGGCGUGAGAGCGUGGCCCGUCUCACUGGGACUGAGACACUGCCCAGACACCGUACGGGAGGCAG
rnacentral:rRNA from 1 species